rnacentral:rRNA from 1 species
GGGCGCCUCGCGGCCUAUCAGCUAGUUGGUGAGGUCACGGCUCACCAAGGCUACGACGGGUAGCUGGUCCGAGAGGAUGACCAGCCACAUUGGGACUGAGACACGGCCCAGACUCCUACGGGAGGCAGCAGUGGGGAAUCUUGCGCAAUGGGGGAAACCCUGACGCAGCGACGCCGCGUGUGGGAUGACGGCCUUCGGGUUGUAAACCACUGUCGGGAGGGACGAAGCUCUGACGGUACCUCCAAAGGAAGCACCGGCUAACUCUGUGCCAGCAGCCGCGGUAAUACAGAGGGUGCGAGCGUUGUCCGGAAUCACUGGGCGUAAAGGGCGCGUAGGCGGCCUGGUAAGUAGAGGGUGAAAUCCCGUGGCUCAACUGCGGGGCUGCCUUCUAGACUGCCGGGCUGGAGCACGGUAGAGGCUGGUGGAAUUCCCGGUGUAGCGGUGGAAUGCGUAGAGAUCGGGAAG